rnacentral:rRNA from 1 species
GACGAACCGAGCGAACGUUAUUCGGAAUCACUGGGCUUAAAGGGUGCGUAGGCGGGCUGUCAAGUCUGGGGUGAAAUCCGGCAGCUUAACUGUCGAACUGCCUUAGAUACUGAUGGCCUCGAGGGAGGUAGGGGCAUGCGGAACUGUAGGUGGAGCGGUGAAAUGCGUUGAUAUCUACAGGAACUCCGGUGGCGAAAGCGGCGUGCUGGACCUCUUCUGACGCUGAGGCACGAAAGCUAGGGGAGCAAAC